CAAAAUCCAUGGACGCUCGUCUGCUGCUGAAUUCAUGUUUUAAAAGAAUGGACAAAGAUAGUCAGAUAGUUGAUACAAAGACCUUUGAUUUUUCAAACUGAUGGAUCAAAAAGUUAUUAUAAACAGAUAUAUUGAAAUGGCCGACUCAAAAUCAUGCUGUUAAUUAGGGCCCCCUGUUGUACAUGUACUUAGGAAUCGGACACCUCCAGAAGAUGAAAGAUCUACUUUACAUCUUUUUCAACGAAAGUACAAUUACUUUGAGAAGUAGGAGAAGCUAAGCAACAGGACAGAAUUCAUUUGAGGCAUUGCUUUCUAGAUUAUAUAGUGGAGUCAUAGAUUGUCCUAUUGAUUUAUGUGGAUAUGAGGAGCAGUAGUCAAUGAAUAAUUUUGUGAUGAGAGAAUUAGCUCCUCAGAUGUAAGUGGAAGGGAAGCUAUAUACAUUAUAUGUUUAAAUGAAGUUAACAACAGGAAUAGAUAUUGAGGAGAUCCUAUAGCUACAGUAUAUAUAAAUGUAACUGGUAUGUAUUUGUUACAGUAU